GUUAUGCCAUAUUUUUAUGCAUUAAGACACAUGCCUUAUAAAUUUGUGUUUUAUUUUUGGAUACAUUAAGGGCAAAACUAAGUGACAAGUGAAGUCACUUUUUUUUCCUAUCAAAAGUACAUUUUGUGGAUGUCAGUGUCUUUGUAUUUAUUUCUCACAACAGAGGAAAGGUGGCCCGAAAAAAUUAUUAGUUACAAGACUACACCGUCCAAUUGAUGAGUAUGUGUUAUGUCUUCUCCAGACUAUCAGCUAUUUGAUAACAUGACUCAUGAAAGUCACAUGCACCCGGGGCACAGUGAAUUGGAGCACAAUGAAUUAGUCUAGAAAGUGAUUUACUAAGCCCCAGUAUCAAAUGGAUGCCAAAUAUUACUUGUUGAAGCUUAUACAUUUAUUUUUCUAUGAAUUAUUUCUAUAGUUUUUGUAUAUAAACAAGUGGUUUCACAUUUGAACAGAAAUUAUGACAAAAUGAAUGGGUCUUAUUCGG